rnacentral:rRNA from 1 species
UACAGAGGUCCCGAGCGUUGUUCGGAUUUAUUGGGCGUAAAGGGCGCGUAGGCGGCUUGGCAAGUGGAUGGUGAAAUCCCUCGGCUUAACCGAGGAACUGCCGUCCAAACUGCUUCGCUUGAGACCGGGAGAGGUGAGUGGAAUUCCCAGUGUAGCAGUGAAAUGCGUAGAUAUCUGGAAGAACACCAAUGGCGAAGGCAAUGUUCUGGCUCGUUUCUGACGCUCAGGUGCGAAAGCCAGGGGAGCGAACGGGG